UAUUGCUCCAAGAAUCAUGUAAUCCUUGUUAGUGAUGCUUCUCAUUGUUUUCCUGUUGCGCAAGCCAUUGAAUUGGAUGGCUCGUGGUUGGUACUUUACAAUGCGACCUGAUUCCUUCCUUGUAUUGGCCAACCGUUGGUUACUGAAUUUUCAUUCCUAGUUAGAAGCACGUAAGAAAAAAUGCACAUUCAACAGAGUACAAUGAUCGUUCAGCUAACAAGGAAUUACACAGGAGUAUGCAAGUAUAUAAUUGAAUAGGGUAUUUUACAAAUUACAAUUAUAAUAGUGCAUGUAAAAAACUAUCAGUGUACUCAUACGGUGGCUGAACUGUUCUGAUUGUGCAUACUGCACAUCUGCUCUACUCAAGACUUCUUGAUAGUCCCAAAUUAGAUAAUUUGACCUUUUCAGUUAUGUUGCCACUUUCUCUCUUUCACAAACAGUGUUCUUAAGCAUGAUUCCAUCAACUUGCGGGUGCGGCUCCAACCAUCAACGGAAUAGAAUCAAUAAAGAGUUUCAUGUCAUCCAAACUUCUUCAUUGAUUAGUUAGUUUGCGCCGUAUGCAAUUGAUUUAAUGUUUAUAAUCUGUGAUAUACGAACUGAUAAAUUCAGUGAUAAAAAUCUUGUAUGUUCACCUGCGACAAUAUCCAAUAUUUUCCAUGAUUGAUUUGUACAAAUGUUGGAGUUUUAGGAGCUUUAAGAAUCCAUGGAUCUUGCUUUGUAGGUGACGAGUCUGAAGUAUUUUAUCAGUGAUUAUUUUGGAUGCACUUCGACCUUUUGACAGCUGAACUGAAACCAUCUGUCGUUGCUAUUAAUAGCAUCCAAAUUUCAUUACCACAGUAAAACCUGCAUUGUGUCGAUUUGUUGUAAUAUGCAUAUGUCUACUGAUCACCAAUACAUAGUCAUUUUCUAACAGCUAACUAUGCAAUGCAACUUUUCUAGGGCCACAGCUAACAAAAAGUAUUUUCUGGUAGCAUGUAUUUUUAGUGGUUUCAGUGGUGUUUUAAAACCUCAGUAGUAUUAAUGUAGUUGGGAAGACACUUGAGCAUUAAGAGCAUCCCAGCGGCGCCCCCAAUAGGGUGUGCAGCAACAGCACCAGAUUGCUGCUAUUGGGAGCACUGGCACUGUGUGCAGAGAGUAUUGGAAGGGGCUGCCCCCAGCGACGGAACUAAUACGAUUUUUUCAAAAACUCAUGAAUAUAAAUGGAACCGGCAAAUUUCUUUCAAAAUUCUUAGGAAAUUAUACGUGUUUGAACGAAGUUUAAUUUAAAACCCUAGACUAAACCCUAGAUCUAGCUGUCCCGGUCGAAUGCGUCGUAAUCAUCACCGUGGUCAUCGUCGUCGAAGACAUAGAGGCCACGGUCAGAGUCGGAGUCGUUGUCGGAGAUCUGUCCUGCUUGGUGCUAAUGACGAGGUUGUUUUUAUCAGGAGUUUCUUACUGUUAUUCAUCACCACAAUUCUUUGCCCUUCACCACAGUUUCUUAUUGUUAUUCAUCACCUGCUACGGGAGAGAUGUAGAAAUGAGGAGAGAGCAGGUAUUUCUGGGUUCUACCUUUUUGAGUGGGUGGGGAUGAGUAUGGUAUUUACAUUCCCUGAAAAAAAUGGCAUUUACUACAAAUAACCAGUUGAUACAGUAAAUAUUUCAUGCCCAUAUGCACUGGACUCAAUUCAAAUCUGCUAAAUGUAACUUCAAGAACAUUGAAAUUGUAGAACUAUACUGCUAAAUCGGAAAGCCUAAGAUGUGAAAACUAUAGGAAUUUUCUCAAUCCAAUAAUCUGUUCAUGCGAAUAAUCCGUUCAUGGGUUAUUUUUUGUUCAAGGUAGGAGAUAAUUCAUGCCAACAAUUCAUUCAUGUGCAAUAACCCAUUCAUGUUUUGAAUAAUUCGUUCAUGCCAAAAAUCCAUUUCAUGCUUUAUUUUUUAUUCUAGGGGUAGGAAAUCAUUCAUGUGAAUCCGUUCAUGUUUUUACUUUUAUUUGUUCUAGGUAGGUAACCGUUUAUGACGAUAACCUGUUCAUACAAGAAUCCAUUCAUGGUUGAAUUUUUGUUCAAGGUAACCCGUUUGGUCAAUAAUCUGUUCAUGCCAAGCAUCCGUUCAUGGUUGAAUUUUUGUUCAAGGUAGGAAUUUGUUCAUACCAAUAAUCCGUUCAUGGUUGAAUUUUUGUUCAAGGUAGGAUUUUUGGUUCAUGCCAAUAAUCCGUUCAUGCCAAUAAUACGUUCAUGGUUUUUGAAUAAUCCGUUCAUGUUCUAUUUUUUAUUCAAAAAUAAUCCGUUCAUGGUACAAUUUUUGUUCAAGGUAGGAUUUUUUGUUCAUGCCAAUAAUCCAUUCAUGGUUUUGAAUAAUCCUUUUAUGCUCUAUUUUUAUUCAAGGUAGGAGAUCGUUCAUGCUAAAGAAUCCGUUCAUAUAUUUUUUGCUUUUAUUGUUCUAGGUAUGUAACCGUUUGUGCCAAUAAUCCGUUCAUGGCAAGAAUCCAUUCACGGUUGAAUUUUUGCUCAAGGUAGGGAAUUGUUCAUGCCAAUAAUACGUUCAUGCCAAGAAUCCGUUCAUGUUUACUAUUAUUUGUUAACCGUUUGUGUCGAUAAUCCGUUCAUGCCAAGAAUCCGUUCAUGGUUGAAUUUUCUUUCAAGGUAGGGAUUUUUGUUCAUGCCAAUAAUCCGUUUUAUGGUUGAAUUUUUCUACAAGGUAGGUAAUUGUUCACGCCAAUAAUCAGUUCAUGCAAAUAAUUCGUUCAUGUUUUUUGAAUAAUCCGUCAUGUCUUACUUUUGUUGUUCUGGGGUAGGUAACCAGUUUGUGCCAAUAAUUCCUUCAUGCCAAGCAUACGUUCAUGGUUGAAUUUUUGUUCAACGUUGGAAUUUGUUCAUGCCAAUAAUCCGUUCAUGGUUGAAUUUUUGUUCAAGGUAUGUAACCGUUUGUGCCAAUAAUCUGUUAAUGCCAAGAAUCAGUUCACGGUUGAAUUUUUGUUCAAUGUAGGGAAUUGUUCAUGCCAAUAAUCCGUUCAUGCCAAUAAUCCGUUCAUGUUUUUGAAUAAUCCGUUCAUGCUCUAUUUUUUAUUCAAGGUAGGAUAUUGUUCGUGCCAAAGAAUCCGUUCAUAUUUUACUUUUAUUUGUUCGAGGUAGGCAAUUGUUUAUUUUUUAUUCUAGAGGUAUGAAAUCAUUCAUGCCAAUAAUCCGUUCAUGUCUUACUUUUAUUUGUUCUAGGUAGGUAAUCGUUUGUGCCAAUAAUCUGUUCAUGCAAAGAAAUCCGUUCGUGGUUGAUUUUUCGUUCAAGGCAGGAAUUUGUUCAUGCCAAUAAUCCGUUCUAUGUUGAAUUUUUGUUCAAGGUAGAGAAUUGUUCAUGCCAAUAAUCCGUUCAUGGUUUUGAAUAAUCCGUUCAUUCUCUAUUUUUUAUUCAAGGUAGAUAACCGUUUGUGCCAAUAAUCCGUUCAUGCCAAUGUCAAAACUUAUAGCAGUUGAUCCUCUAUUACACAUGGCUCUUAACCAAUGUGGGCCUGAAAUUCUUGGAGGCCAAAGUAGUAUCAAGCUUACUACGCAAUUCAUUCCUAGCACCAAACUCAAAAUGAAUGACGUUCAGGAACAAGUCAUUUUUGCAACUUCAUUAGAGCAUGAAUUUUACAAAGCAUUGACAAGCACAAAACAGGAUACCAGCCCAAGAAUCUUCGAAAUCAAAAAAGUUUGGGUUGAUCAAAGAACAUUUACACUAUCCAUCAACCAGGGGGGAUGGAUACACCCAUGUGUAAUGGACUGUUUCGGUAUGUUAACUACAACUGAACAGAAUCAUCGUAGAAGAGAAGGUCUUCUGGAAAAGAAUGAUAUGCUAAUUCAUGUAGUUAUUAAAGAGGACACGGCAAUACUCAUGGACCCCAAUUUGAAUUAUUCUGAUCCAGGACUUAAAAUGGUUUUGUCAUUUGAUAAUGUUGGUUUUAGAUAGGAAAAUGCAGGCUGGUACACAUUCUUUGUCCCAUUGGAAGACAGUGGAUACUAAUUGUGGCUAACUUCAUUGACAAAUCUUUCGAUGUAUUAAAUCCUGAACACUUGAUUGAAAAGUUCUCUCCAGUUGUGAACACUGUUAUAUACAAUUUCAAGCAACUGUUUGUGAAAACUUAUCCUGGUUGUUUCAAGUUCAACAUUCAUUAUUUCAGCGUAAAGUAUGUUCAUGUUCCCAAACAAAACUUCAGAUACGACCCUAGCAUAUUUGCCAUUCAAUUCCUCAGGUGGUAUAAUGGGGUUGAGUGAAAAUUUUCUCAAAUGUUAGUAUUUUUUCUCUUCCAUGAAUUCUUUCAGUCAUAUGGUAUAUCUGCUUAAAAACAUUAUUUUAACAUACUUGAUUUUUGGUCAUUUUUAUUUUUCCCCUAUAAAUGUUCAAUGAAGGUUGACGUGCAAGCAAUCCGCGAAAAAGUAGCAUUUGUCAGAUUGUUAUUAACAUAUUUAAUGAGCAACAGGUACCAAUAGCAAGACAAUUCAUUGUGAAACAUUCUAAGCACCUACUGAAUUGAAUUAGCUCACGACAUUCUGUUGAAGUUGGAAGUUCAAUCACCUGGAAAAAAAAAUCAAGAACAAGGGGAAAGAAGAAUCAAGGCAUUUUUGGCACGUCGGUUUUCUAUGGAAAAGUUUCCAGUGUACUAUGGAAUUUGAAGUUUCAAAACUUUGAGUUGAAUCUACCACAACUAACUAAAAAGUCGGUUUCUUCUAUGGUUCCCAGACAGCUUUUUGGCAUGUUUGAAUGGUUUUCAAACACUAUUAGUUAUUUUUUUGUGUAUUUUAAGUACUUCCAGUCUUUUAAUUUUUACUAGACAAUGUUUUUCCUAUAAGAUGGUUUUAUGAACAUGCCAUCUCAAAUAUGUGACAGUGUGUUCUACUAUUGGGUAUCUUUUUUUU